rnacentral:rRNA from 1 species
UGCCAGACUCCUACGGGAGGCAGCAGUGGGGAAUAUUGGGCAAUGGGCGCAAGCCUGACCCAGCAACGCCGCGUGAAGGAAGAAGGCUUUCGGGUUGUAAACUUCUUUUCUCAGGGACGAAGCAAGUGACGGUACCUGAGGAAUAAGCCACGGCUAACUACGUGCCAGCAGCCGCGGUAAUACGGAGGAUGCGAGCGUUAUCCGGAUUUAUUGGGUUUAAAGGGUGCGUAGGCGGACUGGAAAGUCAGCGGUAAAAUCGAGAGGCUCAACCUCUUUCCGCCGUUGAAACUGUCGGUCUUGAGUGGGCGAGAGGUAUGCGGAAUGCGCGGUGUAGCGGUGAAAUGCAUAGAUAUCACACAGAACUCCGAUUGCGAAGGCAGCAUACCGGCGCCCGACUGACGCUGAGGCACGAAAGCGUGGGUAUCGAACAGGAUUAGAUACCCCAGUA